GCAGGAAGGUCUUGGUGCCUAAAAGAGGUUAGUAAGAGGUAACUGAUCACCUAUAUCAUAUUAUUCUUUCUGAUGUCUGACUAGCUAACUCAGUCCUUUUACGUUAUAAAACAAGAAAAUGGAAAGCGAUUACCACACUCCAGAAACACCUGUUGUAACUGGAAACAGCCUCUGUUAUGUGCUAACCUGAAGUAUCUGAGAAGUUUCACACCGAAAAGGAAAAACACCCUCUGCCAUCACAGUCGUCAACCAGCCUGCUGCUCUGAGGAUUCCGAUGUUUCCUGACACCAUCUCAUUCCCUGGCACGGGAAGGAUGAAUGGAACAGAAGCUCACAUUACCAAUUUUCACAGCAUUGCAGACCUGAGCUGCUAGCAGGGAAGCCAAUGUAUGAGAAACAGGAAUGAGUGUUUUAGGAAGAAACCAUCUGGAUCUCUCAAACAGCUCAGUUAUGUAAUUCUGUUAAUACUAUAGAGUCUUUUAAUGCCGCUUUCUGUAAUAAUUCAUCAGAGCUAAGAGAUUGUCGUUAGUUAUGGCUGUGCUAUAGCUAUUUUUCUUCAGCGCUGUAUCUUUAAUGGCAUUUUUACACAAUAUUUUCUUGUCUUUUGCAAGCUAAGCUGUUUUUGCUAUGUGCACACAGCCUGUCGGGGCAUGGUGCAGGUGGCUGUAGUGCAGUGGGUGCUGAAACUGGUGGGGUCCCUGCAGCACAGCCUCCAGCCUCCAGCAGCUCCCAUGGGCAGGGCUGGUUGUAGCGAUGUGAGUGCUCUCCCAGAGAGAAGGGGCAGCCCUGCCAUGUGCCCCAAAACCCUGGGAAAGGGGAGGAUGUGUUCAGGGCCCUCUCACAUUUCAACAGAAAAUUUUCUCCUUUAUUGAAAGCUAAAGGCUGAGCAGUGGGAUUCAGGAAUUAAUAUUUCUGUAUCGAGAUUUUUUUCUCUUGCUCUCAUACAAUAUUUCUGUCCCUAUGCACCCACUGCACCUUACUGGACCACAGAGUCUAGGGCAGAGUCUAAAUCUCCUGUUUGCAAGUAUGAAUGCCUGCCAUGUGGAUACAAAGAUAAUAAUAAUAAAAAAGGAAAUAAAUCCAAGCUGCUACAUUUAAAAAUUCAUUAUUUUUGAACCAAUGGCAUCUUUUUUUGAGUAGCUGUGAGAGAGGUGCUAAAUUUUAACAUUAUUCUUGUGAAAGAUGGAUGUGGUUAAUUUUACCCAUUCAUCUUGUGUAUUGUCACUUGCUGUGUUGGCUCAUUUUACCCAUUUACUUUGGUGCUGUCAGGACUAAAGGAAAACUUCCAUUCCAGCAAAGCAAAAUUGAAGGGAAUUAGGUAAUUUGUAGGCUUUGCCAGGUUGGAAUGAAGAGCUUUUCAAGGACCAUCAGCAUAUGAAUAGGAUUACCUUGGAUGCACUGGUAGAAGAUGAGUGACCACACAUAUUUUUAGCCUUUGGCAGCCAAGGAGAACGGAACCUCUGAAAACAGCAUGACUGCAACCCAGAAUGAAAGAAAUAAUGUGUCAGGAAACUGGGCAAGCAUUGUGAAUGUUACUGAGGGGAAGCUGAAAUUUUUGGAGAAAGGGACAAGGAGAUAGGCAGUGUCAAAAAUGUUUUUACCUUUUGUUUUUCUUCUGUUUUAACAAUCCUAGGAUAAGCUUUUCCAAAUGAGUAAUAAAUGCCAGGUUAUUUGCAAAA